rnacentral:tRNA from 3 species
GCGCCUGUAGCUCAGCUGGUAGAGCAAGCGGCUUUUAACCGCUUGGUCCUCGGUUCGAAUCCGAGCGGGCGCA